rnacentral:precursor_RNA from 1 species
GUACAAAAGUAAUACGUCGUCUGGGAACUCUACCAGGUUUGACUGAUAAAACACCAAAAUCAAGAUUGGGUCACAUCGAUCGAGCAACAUCUAAUAGGAAAAUAUCUCAAUAUCGUAUUCGGGUGGAAGAAAAGCAGAAAUUGCGUUUCCAUUAUGGAUUGACGGAACGACAAUUAUUAAAAUAUGUUUGUAUCGCCAGAAAAGCAAAGGGUUCGACGGGUCAAAUGCUACUGCAAUCGCUUGAGAUGCGUCUGGAUAAUACCAUUUUUCGUCUGGGUAUGGUUGCAACAAUUCCCGCAGCGAGACAGUUUGUGAAUCAUGGAGAUGUUUCAAUAAAUGGGAGUAGGGUCAAUAUCCCAAGUUACAAUUGCAAACCUGGAGAUAUUAUUACAAUGAAGAAUCAGGAGAAGUCUCGCUUGGUCCGAAAUAUGAAUUUGUUGCAGAAACCCGAACUACCAAAUCAUUUGACUCUUGAUUCGGUACAAUUAAUCGGAUCGGUUAAUCAAAUGAUUGAGCGUGCAUGGAUUGAUUUGAAAAUUAACGAAUUGUUAGUUGUUGAAUACUACUCCCGCCAGGUUUGA